GAUUAACGCUGGCGGCAGGCCUAACACAUGCAAGUCGAACGAACCGUUUACGGUGAGUGGCGCACGGGUGAGUAACACGUGGGAAUAUACAUUUCGGUAAGGAAUAACGUAGAGAAAUUUACGCUAAUACCUUAUAAUGACUACGGUCCAAAGAUUUAUCGCCGAAGGAUUAGCCCGCGUUAGAUUAGGUAGUUGGUAGGGUAAUGGCCUACCAAGCCUACGAUCUAUAGCUGGUCUUAGAGGAUGAUCAGCCACACUGGAACUGAGACACGGUCCAGACUCCUACGGGAGGCAGCAGUGAGGAAUAUUGCGCAAUGGGGGAAACCCUGACGCAGCCAUGCCGCGUGAGUGACGAAGGCCUUAGGGUUGUAAAGCUCUUUCAGAUGUAAAGAUAAUGACGGUAACAUCAGAAGAAGCUCCGGCUAAAUUCGUGCCAGCAGCCGCAGUAA
rnacentral:rRNA from 1 species